rnacentral:tRNA from 2 species
GCCGCCAUGGUGAAAUCGGUAGACACGCUGCU